UCCCGACGGCCCAAGUGGGACUCACAAUUAUUGGGUCUAAAACAUUCGUAGCCGGCUUUUCAAGUUCUAUGUUAAAUUGCAAGGCUUAACCUUGCAGCUGCAUAGGAUACUGUAAGGCUAGGGACUGGGAGACGUAAUGAGUACAUCGAGGGGAGUAGUAAAAUAUGUUAAUCCUCGCUGGACUAACAAUGGCGAAGGCACGUUACGAGAACAGAUCCGACGGUGAGGAAUGAAGGCCAGGGGCG
rnacentral:rRNA from 1 species